ACGGUAGGCGCGCAUCUUUGGAGCGUGUGAUCUGCCAGCUCAAUUAAUGAGCUCAGAUCUAACGCUCCACGUUUUUUUGCAUUUUUAUUUUCUGAUUUCUAUUUUCUUUAAUUCCUUUUAUUUCAAAAAAUCAUAACUCUUUCAUUUUUUAUCCAAAAAUUAUGGGACCAAUUGCAUUAUUUCCCAAAUAAUUUCUAGUUUCUAUUUCUGAUUUUUAAUAUUUUUUAUUUUGUCAUUUGAUAUU
rnacentral:lncRNA from 1 species